AGGCCAUGGUGAGGGCAUCCAAGGUCAAUGUCCUUGAAUCUCUCCCAUGCCUCAUGCAAAGUCUCUCCAUCAAAUUGAAUAAACCUCAAGAUAUCAUCUCUCAUACU
rnacentral:snoRNA from 1 species